CUGCAGAGUUCCAUUAAUUCUCAGUUAAAGAAUCACUGACAUUGGUCUAAAAACUUUUCUGACCAAACGUCAUAGGCUGAACUGUUGACAUCAAAGUUUAAAACUCCUGUGUGCUGCUGGAAGUGCCUCCAGCUGGCUACUGAUGGAUUUGGUCCUCUGUUUGUUGUUUCUAAUGACACAAGCAUUUUUCCCCCUGAUGGAGAGACCUCAAUUACAGACACAUCAUCUCCAGGGUAAUUAGUUAUAAAUCAUCUUCACUGCAUUUCCCUGACACACAUAACGUUGUAUUUUUACUCUCAAGUUGUUGUGUUUUGGUCAGUUUGACUGAAGCAGUCUUUUAAUACUUGAAGGAGAAACCCCCUCCCAUCCCAAACAUUUUAAAGAAUGUUUUAUGAAAAGUCCAACAGCCAGAUGAGAAAGCCCAGUAUUAAGGAUGCACAUGAACUUUCAGGUCAACUUCUUGCUUCAGCUCUCUUUGGUCACUGAUAAAUUAUGAAUUCCUGCCUUCUUCACUUGCCCUAGGGAGAUUUACACACUAUUUUUUCCACUUCUCACAUAGUGUGUGUGGCCUUGAAAAUUGCCUGGUAAUAACUAUCCAAGUGCUGCUUCACUUACUCAUUGCAUUUCUCUAGGGCUUUCAAAAUGUUUUCCAAGCCUCUUAUGGAUAUGGAUGAACUCACCUUCCCAUAGCAGUUUCCAGAGUAGCAGGUGACAUUCCUGCUUUACACCAGGGAAACAGAAGCCCAGAAAGGUCAAGCCAAAAAUUCUCAUCUUGUAGGAAAUGUCACCCAGUCUGGGGUUUCUAGACCAAAACGUAGGCAGCUGGAAACCAGGAGUGUUCCCCUGUGAGAGGAGUACUUGCCAAAUAUUGUGAGUGUGGAUGGAGCUGAGAGGACAGCACAUCCCAUCUGCUGGAGCUCCUACAACUGGAUCUUCAGUAGGAAAUGAUCUUUCACUGGGAUUUAACAACCACAGGAACCUCAGGCUGGCUGAGUGAAAUGUUCCUUACAACAGUACUUCUGUGCUAAUGACAAUAAUAAGGAAACCAGCAAUUCAGUGCUGGAAGAUGCUGCUGAGGAAACAUUGACAUGAGGGCAGGUAAUUAGUGCUGCUGCUUCUAAUAAAAU
rnacentral:lncRNA from 1 species